AGAGUUUGAUCCUGGCUCAGGACGAACGCUGGCGGCGUGCUUAACACAUGCAAGUCGAGCGGAAAGGCCCUUCGGGGUACUCGAGCGGCGAACGGGUGAGUAACACGUGAGCAACCUGCCCCUGGCUCUGGGAUAGCUCCGGGAAACCGGGAUUAAUACCGGGUAGGACCCCCUCCUGCAUGGUGGGGGGUGGAAAGUUU
rnacentral:rRNA from 1 species